rnacentral:lncRNA from 1 species
CAAGAGCCUGUAUCGCUCACCUGACUCUACUUGGGUUUUUGAAAUCAUAUAAAAACAGAUUAAAUUUUGCUACAAAGUAACAACACUUGGCCAGCACCUCAUAAGGAAAGGACUAUUCAUGCUAUGUUUUAUUUCAUUCAAAUCCGUGGUUCUCUAGAAGAAGACAUUUGUAUGCAUUUCCCAUAUAGGGUUCUAUGUUAAACUAAGCCCCC